rnacentral:rRNA from 1 species
UGGCGCACGGGUGCGUAACGCGUAACCAACCUACCCGGCACUGGGGGAUAGCCCGCCGAAAGGCGGAUUAAUACCGCAUGCGGCCAUCGACCGGCAUCGGUUGGUGGUGAAAGAUUUAUCGGUUUCGGAUGGGGUUGCGUGCCAUUAGCUGGUUGGGGGGGUAACGGCCCACCAAGGCGACGAUGGCUAGGGGAGCUGAGAGGCUGGUCCCCCACACGGGCACUGAGAUACGGGCCCGACUCCUACGGGAGGCAGCAGUAGGGAAUAUUGGGCAAUGGCCGAGAGGCUGACCCAGCCAUGCCGCGUGCAGGACGAAGGCUUUCUGAGUCGUAAACUGCUUUUGCCCGGGAAGAACACGGCGGACGCGUCCGCCACUGACGGUACCGGGUGAAUAAGCACCGGCUAACUCCGUGCCAGCAGCCGCGGUAAUACGGAGGGUGCAAGCGUUGUCCGGAUUUAUUGGGUUUAAAGGGUGCGUAGGCGGUCGGCUAAGUCCGGGGUGAAAGCCCGUUGCUCAACAACGGAACUGCCCCGGAAAC